rnacentral:rRNA from 1 species
GUGGGGAAUAUUGGACAAUGGGCGAAAGCCUGAUCCAGCCAUGCCGCGUGUGUGAAGAAGGUCUUCGGAUUGUAAAGCACUUUAAGUUGGGAGGAAGGGCAGUAAGUUAAUACCUUGCUGUUUUGACGUUACCGACAGAAUAAGCACCGGCUAACUUCGUGCCAGCAGCCGCGGUAAUACGAAGGGUGCAAGCGUUAAUCGGAAUUACUGGGCGUAAAGCGCGCGUAGGUGGUUUUGUAAGUUGGAGGUGAAAUCCCCGGGCUCAACCUGGGAACUGCCUCCAACACUGCAUGACUAGAGUACGGUAGAGGGUAGUGGAAUUUCCUGUGUAGCGGUGAAAUGCGUAGAUAUAGGAAGGAACACCAGUGGCGAAGGCGACUACCUGGACUGAUACUGACACUGAGGUGCGAAAGCGUGGGGAGCAAACAGGAUUAGAAACCCCAGUAGUCC